rfam:Camelus ferus unplaced genomic scaffold scaffold2192, whole genome shotgun sequence.
GAGGGUAUAGCUCAGUGGUAGAACACGUGCUUAGCAUGCACUAGGUCCUGGGUUCAAUCCCCGGUACUUCCA